rnacentral:lncRNA from 1 species
AUGGAGGCCUCCGUGCUACCAAGUUGUUUCCAAUGAUGCAACUUCCAAAUCGACGAUUGGUUCUGUUAGACUUGAUCUAUACUAUUGAAAAUAUUUGAAAACUAAAUUUCAUAAGUUUUCGGUAUCAUUUACCUAUCAAAUGAGUAGUAUAAAAAUGAAUUGCCGAAAAUAAAAAUCUCAUAAAAAAUGAUGAUAAAAGGUUUGAAUUUAAGAUCAGAGGUGCUAAUCUUACAAUAAAUAUUAUAUAAAAAUUUCAUCAGAUUUGGAUUGUUUUAAACCGUUAAAUUGACAAACACAUCACAUCUACCAUUAAAAUUGUCAAUUUUAAGACCUUUUGAUCACUAGCCAAAUAAUGCCGAAAAAUUACGAAAUUUAGUUUCCAAAUACUUUUAAUAGUGUAAAUCAAGUCUAACAGAGCCGAUCAUAGAUUUGGAUGCCGCAUCAUUGGAAACGACUUAGUAGCACGGAAGCCUCUGUGCUACCGAUAGUAUACCAGCCUAGCUUUAUUUAUACACACGGAGACUAUUUCUAAAUCAUUUCUUGCCGAUUUGAUGAAUCGCACAUGUAUUUCUCUUA